rnacentral:rRNA from 1 species
AUGCUCGCUCUACAGUGGAGCAGUCUACCAAUUUAUAUUGAAAGCGGCAAUUUGAAAGCAGUGAACAUGGUGAAAAGUGGAGAUACAAAUAGAUCAAAAUAUGCCUUUCUUAUUAGAGAGAUUAAAGAUAGUAUGUCCGAACGUAGUUCUUGUAUUACUCAUAUCUAUCGUAGUUGUAAUAAUUCUAGUCAUGUUUUGGCCAACUUUGGGAGGACUCAAGGCCGAAUCGCUGUAUGGCUUGGGUCAGGACCAGAUGCCGUUUUGGACGCUGUUAAGCGUGACUGUAACCGUGUUUUGAUUGAGUAA